UCCCUGAUGGCUCAGUGGUAGAGAAUCUGCCUGCCAAUGUAGGAGACCCGGGUUUGAUCCCUGGGUAGGGAA
rnacentral:tRNA from 1 species